AAAACUUUCAACAAUGGAUCUCUUGGUUCCGGCAUCGAUGAAGAACGCAGCGAACUGCGAUAAGUAAUGUGAAUUGCAGAAUUCAAUGAAUCAUCGAGUCUUUGAACGCACAUUGCGCCCCCUGGCACUCCGGGGGGCAUGCCUGUCCGAGCGUCAUU
rnacentral:rRNA from 1 species